rnacentral:rRNA from 1 species
CCUACGGGCGGCUGCAGUGGGGAAUAUUGGACAAUGGGGGGAACCCUGAUCCAGCCAUGCCGCGUGUGUGAAGAAGGCCCUCGGGUUGUAAAGCACUUUCAGUGAGGAAGAACGCCUGGUGGUUAAUACCCAUCAGGAAAGACAUCACUCACAGAAGAAGCACCGGCUAACUCCGUGCCAGCAGCCGCGGUAAUACGGAGGGUGCGAGCGUUAAUCGGAAUUACUGGGCGUAAAGCGCGCGUAGGUGGCUUGAUAAGCCGGUUGUGAAAGCCCCGGGCUCAACCUGGGAACGGCAUCCGGAACUGUCAAGCUAGAGUGCAGGAGAGGAAGGUAGAAUUCCCGGUGUAGCGGUGAAAUGCGUAGAGAUCGGGAGGAAUACCAGUGGCGAAGGCGGCCUUCUGGACUGAAACUGACACUGAGGUGCGAAAGCGUGGGUAGCAAACAGGAUUAGAUACCCUUGUAGUC